rnacentral:misc_RNA from 1 species
GAUGAAGAACGUAGCGAAAUGCGAUAAGUAAUGCGAAUUGCAGAAUUCCAGUGAGUCAUCGAAUCUUUGAACGCACAUUGCGCCCGCCAGUAUUCUGGCGGGCAUGCCUGUUCGAGCGUCAUUUCAACCAUCAAGCCCCCGGCUUGUGUUGGGGACCUGCGGCUGCCGCAGGCCCUGAAAACCAGUGGCGGGCUCGCUAGUCACUCCGAGCGUAGUAAUACAUCUCGCUCAGGGCGUGCUGCGGGUUCCGGCCGUUAAAAAGCCUUAUUUACCCAAGGUUGACCUCGGAUCAGGUAGGAAGACCCGCUGAACUUAAGCAUAUCAAUAAGCGGAGGA